AUUGAACGCUGGCGGCAUGCCUUACACAUGCAAGUCGAACGGUAACGGGCCUUCGGGUGCCGACGAGUGGCGAACGGGUGAGUAAUGUAUCGGAACGUACCUUUCAGUGGGGGAUAACGUAGCGAAAGUUGCGCUAAUACCGCAUAUUCUGUGCGCAGGAAAGCAGGGGAUUGCAAGACCUUGCGCUGAUUGAGCGGCCGAUAUCAGAGUAGCUAGUUGGGGAGGUAAAGGCUCACCAAGGCGACGUUUUGUAGCGGGUCUGAGAGGAUGAUCCGCCACACUGGAACUGAGACACGGUCCAGACUCCUACGGGAGGCAGCAGUGGGGAAUUUUGGACAAUGGGGGCAACCCUGAUCCAGCCAUGCCGCGUGAGUGAAGAAGGCCUUCGGGUUGUAAAGCUCUUUCGGCCGGGAAGAAAUCGUAUCAGCUAAUACCUGGUGCGGAUGACGGUACCGGCAUAAGAAGCACCGGCUAACUACGUGCCAGCCGCCGCUGUAAAAC
rnacentral:rRNA from 1 species